UACGAAGGGUGCAAGCGUUACUCGGAAUUACUGGGCGUAAAGCGUGCGUAGGUGGUUCGUUAAGUCUGAUGUGAAAGCCCUGGGCUCAACCUGGGAAUGGCAUUGGAAACUGGCGACCUAGAGUGCGGUAGAGGGUAGUGGAAUUCCCGGUGUAGCAGUGAAAUGCGUAGAGAUCGGGAGGAACAUCCGUGGCGAAGGCGACUACCUGGACCAGCACUGACACUGAGGCACGAAAGCCAGGGGAGCAAACGGG
rnacentral:rRNA from 1 species